AGCAGCGUGGCUUAGUGGCAAGAGCCUGGGCUUGGGAGUCAGAGGUCUUGGGUUCUAAUCCUGACUCUGCCA
rnacentral:tRNA from 1 species